CAAGUAAGCUCUGCACUGUCAGCACGAGGAACCCAGUGAGGGCUCAAACUCACCAACUGUGAGAUAAUGACCUGUGCCAAAAUCAAGAGUUGGAUGCUUAACCUACUGAGCCACCCAGGUGCCUGCCACUCAGUCUGAAAUAUUAAUGAUAGCUUUUAUUUGAAAUUCUUGGCUUCGGGGUAGGAACUGUGUGUUGGAAUGAAUAAUACGUUGAAGCCUAACUCAAAAAAUUCUAGCAACUUCUAUUGCCUUCAAAAUGAAAGUCAAUUUUAGCACAUUGGCAGGAGAGAAGCUUGAAGGAAUUGAAGAAUGUUAUUACAAAACCAAGAGAUUGAAGUUAGACGGGUUGGGAGGAAUGCAUGGUAGAGACUGUUUUUGAAGGUAUAGAAAUGGAAAAGGUCAAGAGCACAACUGGAUGAAGAGGACAACCCCUAUCCCUAUUUGAUUUGAUCAGCUCUCCAGUCCCUGGGCUGGUGCCAUUCCACAUCCUAGUGAUGUCAGCACCUCCAUUGACAUCUGGCACGAUGCCUCCAGUCUGGAACCUUACAGCCAAUCAGAGUUGAUGAUAUUGUAUUAAUGGUUCCAUAAUAAAAUGAAAAAGAUGGCCUUCAUUUUGAUGAAAGCUGUAAAGUA